UGCAUGUUGCAAGGGAAGCAUAAAACUCAAACAAGGUGUACAUAUAAUUGCUCACAGUUAAAAACUACAAAAAUUAACUCAUUGAUUUUUUAUAUUUAUUACAACAACAAUAAUAACAACAUUGAUAACGAUUACUUUUAAAAAAAUCAACUUAAGUUCAAACUUAAAAAUUCUAAGUUAAUAGUAAAUAUUUCCUCCCCAUCAUUAGGAAUAACUAUUCCUCUCCCAACUAAGCCAAGCUUAUUUAAUUGAAUCUGUUAAUGGAAAGGAAUGCAGGCAUUCAAAGAUG
rnacentral:misc_RNA from 1 species